UGCAGCGGUGGUCGAGUUGGCUGAUGGCAUCUGCCUCGAAAGCAGAAGAGCCGCAAGGCUCCGGGGGUUCAAAUCCCUCCCGCUGCGU
rnacentral:tRNA from 1 species